rnacentral:rRNA from 1 species
AGAGUUUGAUCAUGGCUCAGGACGAACGCUGGCGGCGUGCCUAACACAUGCAAGUCGAACGGACGAGGCCCCUUCGGGGACCGAGUUAGUGGCGGACGGGUGAGUAACGCGUGAGCAACCUGCCUUUCAGAGGGGGACAACAGUUGGAAACGGCUGCUAAUACCGCAUGAUGCAGCGAGAUCGCAUGGUCUUGCUGUCAAAGAUUUAUCGCUGAAAGAUGGGCUCGCGUCUGAUUAGCUAGUUGGAGGGGUAACGGCCCACCAAGGCGACGAUCAGUAGCCGGACUGAGAGGUUGAACGGCCACAUUGGGACUGAGAUACGGCCCAGACUCCUACGGGAGGCAGCAGUGGGGAAUAUUGGGCAAUGGGGGAAACCCUGACCCAGCAACGCCGCGUGAAGGAAGAAGGCUUUCGGGUUGUAAACUUCUUUUACCAGGGACGAAGAACGUGACGGUACCUGGAGAAAAAGCCACGGCUAACUACGUGCCAGCAGCCGCGGUAAUACGUAGGUGGCAAGCGUUGUCCGGAUUUACUGGGUGUAAAGGGCGUGUAGGCGGAGCUGCAAGUCAGAUGUGAAAUCAGGGGGCUUAACCCUCAAACUGCAUUUGAAACUGUAGCCCUUGAGUAUCGGAGAGGCAGGCGGAAUUCCUAGUGUAGCGGCGAAAUGCGUAGAUAUUAGGAAGAACACCAGUGGCGAAGGCGGCCUGCUGGACGACAACUGACGCUGAGGCGCGAAAGCGUGGGGAGCAAACAGGAUUAGAUACCCUGGUAGUCCACGCUGUAAACGAUGAAUACUAGGUGUGGGGGGGCUGACCCCCUCCGUGCCGGAGUUAACACAAUAAGUAUUCCACCUGGGGAGUACGACCGCAAGGUUGAAACUCAAAGGAAUUGACGGGGGCCCGCACAAGCAGUGGAUUAUGUGGUUUAAUUCGACGCAACGCGAAGCACCUUACCGGGAUUUGACAUCCUACUAACGAAGCAGAGAUGCAUUAGGUGCCCUUCGGGGAAAGUAGAGACAGGUGGUGCAUGGUUGUCGUCAGCUCGUGUCGUGAGAUGUUGGGUUAAGUCCCGCAACGAGCGCAACCCCUAUUGUUAGUUGCUACGCAAGAGCACUCUAGCGAGACUGCCGUUGACAAAACGGAGGAAGGCGGGGACGACGUCAAAUCAUCAUGCCCCUUAUGUCCCGGGCUACACACGUAAUACAAUGGCGGUCAACAAAGGGAAGCAAAGCCGCGAGGCAGAGCAAACCCCCAAAAGCCGUCUCAGUUCGGAUUGCAGGCUGCAACUCGCCUGCAUGAAGCUGGAAUUGCUAGUAAUCGUGGAUCAGAAUGCCACGGUGAAUACGUUCCCGGGCCUUGUACACACCGCCCGUCACACCAUGAGAGUCGGGAACACCCGAAGUCCGUAGUCUAACCCGCAAGGGAGGGCGCGGCCGAAGGUGGGUCUGAUAAUUGGGGUGAAGUCGUAACAAGGUA